UGUUGGGUUAAGUCCCGCAACGAGCGCAACCCCUAUCCCAUGUUGCCAGCGAGUUAUGUCGGGGACUCAUGGGAAACUGCCGGCGACAAGUCGGAGGAAGGUGGGGAUGAGGUCAAGUCAUCAUGCCCCUUAUGUCUUGGGCUACACACGUGCUACAUUGGCCGGUACAAAGGGCUGCAAAACCGCGAGGUUGAGCGAAUCCCAAAAAGCCGGUCCCGGUUCGGAUUGGAGGCUGCAACUCGCCUCCAUGAAGGCGGAGUUGCUAGUAAUCGCGGAUCAGCAACGCCGCGGUGAAUACGUUCCCGGGCCUUGUACACACCGCCCGUCACACCACGAAAGUCGGCAACACCCGAAGCCGGUGGGCUAACCCCUUUUGG
rnacentral:rRNA from 1 species